rnacentral:rRNA from 1 species
UUCAACGGCCGCGGUAUCCUAACCGUGCGAAGGUAGCGUAAUCACUUGCCCCUUAAAUCGGGGCUGGUAUGAACGGCACCACGAAGGUUUAACUGUCUCCUUUUUCUAAUCAGUGAAAUUAAUCUCCCCGUGAAGAAGCGGGGGUAAACACAUAAGACGAGAAGACCCUAUGGAGCUUUAAAUGUUAACAACAAUUGCUCUUCCCCCACAUAGCACCAUGAUUGUUAAUUUUAGGUUGGGGCGACCACGGAGCAAAACUUAACCUCCUUGUUGAAGGAAUCAUCCUAUAGCAAAAACUAACAACUUUAAGCAUCAUCAAAUUGACAUUCAUUGACCCAAUAUUUUGAUCAACGAACCAAGUUACCCUAGGGAUAACAGCGCUAUCCACCUCAAGAGCCCAUAUCGACAGGUGGGUUUACGACCUCGAUGUUGGAUCAGGGCACCCCCGCG